rnacentral:rRNA from 1 species
CCUACGGGCGGCUGCAGUGAGGAAUAUUGGUCAAUGGGCGGGAGCCUGAACCAGCCAAGUCGCGUGAGGGAAGACGGUCCUAUGGAUUGUAAACCUCUUUAGGCGGGGAGCAAUGCCGGGCACGCGUGCCCGGAGGGAGAGUACCCGCAGAAUAAGCAUCGGCUAACUCCGUGCCAGCAGCCGCGGUAAUACGGAGGAUGCGAGCGUUAUCCGGAUUGAUUGGGUUUAAAGGGUGCGUAGGCGGAUUUUUAAGUCAGCGGUAAAAUGUCCGGGCUCAACCCGGGCCGGCCGUUGAAACUGGGGAUCUUGAGUGGGCGAGAAGUAUGCGGAAUGCGUGGUGUAGCGGUGAAAUGCAUAGAUAUCACGCAGAACUCCGAUUGCGAAGGCAGCAUACCGGCGCCCGACUGACGCUGAGGCACGAAAGCGUGGGGAUCGAACAGGAUUAGAUACCCGAGUAGUC